rnacentral:rRNA from 1 species
AUUGAACGCUGGCGGCAGGCCUAACACAUGCAAGUCGAACGGCAGCACAGAAGAGCUUGCUCUUUGGGUGGCGAGUGGCGGACGGGUGAGUAACACGUAGGAAUCUACCCAGUAGUGGGGGAUAACCUGGGGAAACCCAGGCUAAUACCGCAUACGCCCUGAGGGGGAAAGCGGGGGAGUCUUCGGACCUCGCGCUAUUGGAUGAGCCUGCGUCGGAUUAGCUAGUUGGUGGGGUAAGGGCUCACCAAGGCGACGAUCCGUAGCUGGUCUGAGAGGAUGACCAGUCACACCGGAACUGAGACACGGUCCGGACUCCUACGGGAGGCAGCAGUGGGGAAUAUUGGACAAUGGGCGCAAGCCUGAUCCAGCCAUGCCGCGUGGGUGAAGAAGGCCUCGGUUGUAA